UACGAAGGGUGCAAACGUUGCUCGGAAUCAUUGGGCGUAAAGCGCACGUAGGCGGCCUUGUAAGUCGGAUGUGAAAUCCCACGGCUUAACCGUGGAAGUGCAUCCGAAACUGUAAGGCUCGAGUAUGGAAGAGGGUCGCAGAAUUCCCGGUGUAGAGGUGAAAUUCGUAGAUAUCGGGAGGAAUACCAGUGGCGAAGGCGGCGACCUGGGCCAAUACUGACGCUGAGGUGCGAAAGCGUGGGGAGCAAACAGG
rnacentral:rRNA from 1 species